GGCACGGUGGCUUAGUGGUUAGCAUGUUUGUCUCACAACUCCGGGGUUGGGGGUUCAAAUCCUGUCUCUGCCC